UGGGAACCCGCCUUUGGGUACGGAACAACGCCGGGAAACUGGCGCUAAUACCGUAUACGUCCUUGGCUUUGGCGGCCAUUGGGGAAAGAUUUAUCGCCCGAAGAGGGGCCCGCGUCCGAUUAGCUAGUUGGUGUGGUAAAGGCGCACCAAGGCAUCGAUCGGUAGCUGGUCUGAGAGGAUGAUCAGCCACACUGGGACUGAGACACGGCCCAGACUCCUACGGGAGGCAG
rnacentral:rRNA from 1 species